rnacentral:rRNA from 1 species
CCAAUGGGCGAAAGCCUGAUCCAGCCAUGCCGCGUGCAGGAUGAAGGCCUUCGGGUUGUAAACUGCUUUUGUACGGAACGAAACGGCUCUUUCUAAUAAAGAGGGCUAAUGACGGUACCGUAAGAAUAAGCACCGGCUAACUACGUGCCAGCAGCCGCGGUAAUACGUAGGGUGCAAGCGUUAAUCGGAAUUACUGGGCGUAAAGCGUGCGCAGGCGGUAAUGUAAGACAGUUGUGAAAUCCCCGGGCUCAACCUGGGAACUGCAUCUGUGACUGCAUUGCUGGAGUACGGCAGAGGGGGAUGGAAUUCCGCGUGUAGCAGUGAAAUGCGUAGAUAUGCGGAGGAACACCGAUGGCGAAGGCAAUCCCCUGGGCCUGUACUGACGCUCAUGCACGAAAGCGUGGGGAGCAAACAGGAUUAGAUACCCUGGUAGUCCACGCCCUAAACUAUGUCAACUGGUUGUCGGGGAAGCAAUUCCUUGGUAACGAAGCUAACGCGUGAAGUUGACCGCCUGGGGAGUACGGCCGCAAGGUUAAAACUCAAAGGAAUUG